UGGGUUGGGUUUCGAAGCCCGUAUUUGGUUUACUUGUAAUCAAAGUCUGGUUUGUAAUCCAUCCCAUUUUCCAUUCCCACGUUUCACUCAUUACCGUUUUCAAUUCCUCGGUUUAUAUCCCACUGCCAUUCCCACCGAUUUGUAAUCAAGUUUCCUAAAUUGAUUGUGAUAUUAGACACAUCUCUCUCUCUUUCUCUUCUUCCUAUCUUCUUCUUUCCAUACGUUUUUUCCUUCUUCCAUCUUCUUCUCUCUGAAACCCUAAUUUAUGCUCUGAUUUUAACCAAGAAUGCUCCUUCGAUCUUCGUCUUCCUCUUUGAUAUCAUGUCCAUCCUGUCUCUGAAACCCUAAUCUAUGGAAUCUCUAACGCAAAGGGAGCAUCGAAUUUCUUACCGCUUCAACGGCCAAAAAUUACAUCUCUUGCCGCCAUCAAAAUCUUGGUAGGAGGGGUCGAUUGGAAGCUUGGUAGGGGAGAGCUCCUUCCCCAAAGGUUGGGAAGUAUGCGGUAUUGGUCUUCACGUAUUACAUAAUUUAUUUGUACUACUUAUGAUAUAUUUUUUAAUACUUUUUUUGUUUAAGUUUCUUUUAUAUGUAAUAUACAUUUUUAGAAAUACUUUUUGAACCUAAUAUUUAGGUUAUUCGUGAUUUCAUACUCUCUAUCAUUGUGAUGAUAUCUAAAUGUUUUGUUUAUUAAUAAAAAAAAUGACAUUAUUAGUUGAUUUUUUAGUAAAUCAAAAUAUUGCAUUACUUGAUUUUUUUCCCCUACUUAUUUGUGUAAAUCUUUGUUGUACCUCUUUUAAAUUUAGGAUGUUAAAAUGGUAAUAAUAAAUGGAGAAUCUGAUGCAAAACAAAAAGGUAGAUUGUUUAAACAAUCAAUUUUUAAUCUCUCUCUCAUUUAAGCAAAAAUGUAAGAAAUAAUUUCAUUUAAAUAGCAAAUUAACAAAAAAAAAUAGUUCAUUUAAAAAAAAUAAAUAAAAAAAGAGCAAGUUUGCAAGUUUAUUUAAAAACCAGUAAGUUUGCAAGUUCACUAAAAAAAACUAGCAAGUUUAUUUGAAAGAAAAUCAUUUUUUUUACUAGUUACUCAAAAAGAAAAAGAAAGGAAAGAAAGGAAGAAAAAAAAACCUCAGAAACUUUGCAACUUUUUUUUUUUAAAAAAAAAAAAAACUUAAUAAAAAGUAAUAAAUUUAUUUUUUAAAAAUAACAAUAUCAUUAAAAAAAAUAGAAACUGAAUUUUAGGAAGGAAAAAAAAAAGAUUUAACUCAAACUUAGAGGUAGCAUAUUGUAUUUUAAAAUUCAUGAAAUUAGGAUAUAUUAAUAGUUUGUUGUAGAAAAAAGAUAUAAAAAAGUUAAAAUAAUAAUAACAAAAAAAAAAAAAAAAAAACCAAAUUCAACCCAAUUUCAACCCUGCAAUUCUAAUAUGUAA